rnacentral:rRNA from 1 species
UACGGAGGGUGCAAGCGUUGUCCGGAUUUAUUGGGUUUAAAGGGUGCGUAGGCGGUCUUUUAAGUCAGUGGUGAAAUCCUCCAGCUCAACUGGAGAACUGCCAUUGAUACUGGAAGACUUGAGUAUAGUUGAGGUAGGCGGAAUUGACAGUGUAGCGGUGAAAUGCAUAGAUAUCGUCAAGAACCCCGAUUGCGAAGGCAGCUUACUAAACUAUAACUGACGCUGAGGCACGAAAGUGCGGGGAUCAAACAGG